GCUAGCGUAGCUUAAAUAAAGCAUAACAUUGAAGAUGUUAAGAUGGACCGUAAAAAGUUCCGCACGCA
rnacentral:tRNA from 1 species